rnacentral:rRNA from 1 species
AUACGUAGGUGGCAAGCGUUGUCCGGAUUUACUGGGCGUAAAGCGCAUGUAGGCGGACAUUUAAGUCAGGGGUGAAAUCCCGGGGCUCAACCUCGGAACUGCCUUUGAUACUGGGUGUCUAGAGUGUGGAAGAGGUAAGUGGAAUUCCGAGUGUAGAGGUGAAAUGCGUAGAUAUUAGGAGGAACACCAGUGGCGAAGGCGGCUUACUGGACUGUAACUGACGUUGAGGCACGAAAGCGUGGGGAUC